UCCCCCGUGUACUCUUCUAUGGGCAGGCCAGCAUCAGUCCGGGCGGUUGGAGAAAGACCUGUGUCAUGUAGCUGUUUUCGGGCAGUGUUAUAGGGCAGGUGGAAUGCAACCAGCCUGGACUGAGGUCCGCGCAUCUGCUAGGAUGCUGGCGUAAUGGCUGUAAGCGGCCCGUCUUGAAACACGGACCAAGGAGUCUAACAUCUAUGCGAGUGUUUGGGUGUCAAGCCCGAGCGCGUAAUGAAAGUGAACGGAGGUGGGAACCUUUUAGGUGCACCAUCGACCGAUCCUGAUGUCUUCGGAUGGAUUUGAGUAAGAGCAUAGCUGUUGGGACCCGAAAGAUGGUGAACUAUGCCUGAAUAGGGUGAAGCCAGAGGAAACUCUGGUGGAGGCUCGCAGCGGUUCUGACGUGCAAAUCGAUCGUCAAAUUUGGGCAUAGGGGCGAAAGACUAAUCGAACUAUCUAGUAGCUGGUUCCUGCCGAAGUUUCCCUCAGGAUAGCAGUAACGUUUUCAGUUUUAUGAGGUAAAGCGAAUGAUUAGAGGCCUGGGGGUUGAAACAACCUUCACCUAUUCUCAAACUUUAAAUAUGUAAGAAGUCCUUGUUUCUUAAUUGAACGUGGACAUUUGAAUGUAUCGUUACUAGUGGGCCAUUUUUGGUAAGCAGAACUGGCGAUGCGGGAUGAACCGAACGCGGGGUUAAGGUGCCAGAAUGCACGCUCAUCAGACACCACAAAAGGUGUUAGUUCAUCU
rnacentral:rRNA from 1 species